rnacentral:rRNA from 1 species
GAUGAACGCUGGCGGCGUGCCUAAUACAUGCGAGUCGAGCGAACGGAUGAGAAGCUUGCUUCUCUGAUGUUAGCGGCGGACGGGUGAGUAACACGUGGAUAACCUACCUAUAAGACUGGGAUAACUUCGGGAAACCGGAGCUAAUACCGGAUAAUAUUUUGAACCGCAUGGUUCAAAAGUGAAAGACGGUCUUGCUGUCACUUAUAGAUGGAUCCGCGCUGCAUUAGCUAGUUGGUAAGGUAACGGCUUACCAAGGCAACGAUGCAUAGCCGACCUGAGAGGGUGAUCGGCCACACUGGAACUGAGACACGGUCCAGACUCCUACGGGAGGCAGCAGUAGGGAAUCUUCCGCAAUGGGCGAAAGCCUGACGGAGCAACGCCGCGUGAGUGAUGAAGGUCUUCGGAUCGUAAAACUCUGUUAUUAGGGAAGAACAUAUGUGUAAGUAACUGUGCACAUCUUGACGGUACCUAAUCAGAAAGCCACGGCUAACUACGUG